GGAAGGUGGGGAUGACGUCAAGUCCUCAUGGCCCUUAUGGGUAGGGCUUCACACGUCAUACAAUGGUCGGUACAGAGGGUUGCCAAGCCGCGAGGUGGAGCCAAUCCCUUAAAGCCGAUCGUAGUCCGGAUCGUAGUCUGCAACUCGACUACGUGAAGUCGGAAUCGCUAGUAAUCGCAGAUCAGCAUGCUGCGGUGAAUACGUUCCCGGGUCUU
rnacentral:rRNA from 1 species